AGCCGCUCGCGGUGGAGAAAGCAGGCCGCGGAGGAGGCGGGCGCCCAGGCCUGCCCGGACAGGAAGUGGGCCCAGCUUUCCCACUCCUCGCUCCGCUCCUUCCUCCGCGGGAAGGGCAGGCCCCGGAGGCAGCGAGCGCCCCGGGGGUGGCCGGGCAGCCGGAUGCUCCCGGGGUUGCGGGCUGUGGCCCCGGGGGCUGAGGGCGGCGCGGGUGCGGCGGAAGCAGGGAAGCCGCGAACCGGCCUUCUGGCUGGCCACAGCGCCCUGCACGGACGAUCAGUGAAUGGAGAUUACUCAAGUAUUUAUCGAGAACUUGCAGUGGGCUAGGCACAGUUCAGGUAGAUCAACAAACCGAAAGACCCUGCCCUAGGGGAGCUUUCGCUCCAAUGCGGGGAGAGGGUGGAUGAUUGCAGUUUUGCCCAGUAAUUUUUGGGACCCUCAUGCCACCAUUAAUUAGCUACACACAUUUCACCGAAAGUCUACCUUACAUAUUAAUCAGAAGAAGUGGAAGAAUAAACACAGAAGAAGCAAAAAAGGAAGGAACUUUCUCACUGAAAGUUUCUAUUUAAUAUUAAGUCUUAAAAGUACUCCUGGAAGGACAAAAGGUGUUCUUAAUAAAUUAUAUUCGCAAAUAUUGGAUUUAAUCCUACCAGUAAUGAAGCAGUCAGUUACUUUCUAGAUGUGCAGAAAUACGUAAUGAACAAAAAAAACUAAUUCCUAUUCCAUUUUUUAUUAGGUCCACAGUUAUUUCACUUCUAAAUAAAUAUGGUUUUUUAAAAGUGGCACGCGGUGGAAUGUAAUUGAGACAGGAUGGAGUUCCUAGAGAAAUUUUACUUCCUCAAUCUGCACUCCACCUUACUUAAAAUACAGUCUUGGGUCUGUAAUUCCCUUAUCUGACUCUCAAGGAAAUGACAAAGUAAUGCCUAGAUUGGACUAAACCUCAUUUAACUUCAAGGCUGACCUUUCUCAAAGUUGAACCUUCGUCUUGUGAGGAACAGAAAGAUCAAGAACUCUGAAGCACCUCGACUUUCCACCUGUGAAGAUGUGUUCAAAUUUGCAACGUGCGGCCACACCUAUGAGGUCACUCCCUCUGGAGGAAACCAGCUGCCACUUUGUGAGGAUACUCAUAGUCCUGUGGAGGCAUAUCCUCCAUAUGGCUGAGACCUCCUGCGAACAACCAUCACUGACUUGCCAGACAUGAGUGUGCCACCUUGGAAGCAGAUUUUCCAGCCCCAGUUAAGCCUUCAGAUGACAUCAGCCCCUGCUAAUCUCUUGACUACAACCUCAUGAGAGACCCUGAGCCAGAACUAGCCAGUGCUCCCUGGGAAGCACUGAUCUUGGAUUUGGCUGCUGUGUGGGAGACCAGUGUUCCUCUUAGCUGAUGGUGGAGACUCACGUCAGUGCAGGCUGCAGCGAUGACUCUCAAACUGUGAACAAUGCUCCCCAGUGUGUGCACGGGAGGGCCAGCAUAUGGAGACCUCGCGGAGAGCCAAACGCGGGCUCUCUGCACUUCCUUCAGUUUUGUUUAAAUACAGGAUCCGGUUUGCCUUUGUCACCCGCUGUAGCACCACCAGGCUUCAUUCACUGUGAAGCCUUGCCAGAUCUCUGUAAUAAAUUACCUGGGAGGCCAAGGCGGGAAAAGAGGAAAGAACAAGGUAAAGCGCUUUGAAAUCUGACUUUCUCCCUGGAGUGUUCAGUGUUGCCUAUUUAGAAGGUGCAGGGUUGUGCUAAGGUGUGUGCUGGGAGCUUUGUAGGCUAAAGUUUGUAGAAAAAGUUUGGUUCAUUUCAGUCAUCACUUACAAAUUUUUUCUAUUAAGUGUUUAAGAUUUCCAAACUUAAAAAAAAAAAAAAACAGGUUCAGAGUAUUUUUAAAAAGGCAUUGGUCAUUUGUACAGCUUACAUUUCACUAAAUCUUUACAACAAUUUUGAGAGGUAGGUAAUACUAGUAUCCCUCAUUUUAUACUGAGGAAACUAAGGCUCAAAGAGGCUCAAUGCUUGUCUGGUAUCAUAUAGUCAGUAAGGAAUAAAACCAAAUCUUGAACCCUGGCUUCCUGGCUCUGUGUCUUUUCCUAGCAGACUGACCAUCAAGGCUGGACAUCCCUUUCAGUUCUUUUGAGAACAGACUAGUUGGCUAGAUGUGAAGAAAACAAGCUUUGGAGUAAUCUUCCCUCUGCACAGCCUGUGAUAUUGGGAUCCAGUGAGUGACGGUGAGAGGUGGAGAUGUAUGAACGAGACCUGAGACGUUGGACCUGAACAUCACAGCAAUCACUUGCAGGGCUAAGAUUCAGGGCCAGCUGUCCAUGGAUUCUCCCGAGUUGGAUCGUCUUUCACACACCUGCUUCCUGAGGUUACAUCUCUUUUCCAGCCUAGGAGCAACCAAUAAAGAGCAGAGAGCAAAGAAAAGCAGACACACAAAUCAUCUCUAGACUAUGUCAAGGGUAUCCCCAAAAUGGGAAAGAAAUUCAUGAAUGUACACACAAAAUGUCACGUAUUUUUGUUUUACAUUAAAAACACUGUGUCCCAGAAGUAAGGAGUAGAAUGGUGGUUGCCAGGAGCUGAGGGGUUGGGGACAUGGAGAUGCUGGUCAAAGGGUACAAAAUUUCAAUAUGCAGAAUGAAUGAGUUCUGGAGAGCUAAUGUACAGCAUGGUGACCAUAGGUAAUCAUGUGGUAUUAUAUUGUGACAUUUGCUGAGAGUAGGUUUCAAAUGGUCUCACCACAAAAAGGAAAAUGGUAACCAUGUGAGGUGAUGUUUAUGCUAAUUAGCUUGAUUGUGGUAAUCAUUUCACAACAUGUAUGUAUAUCAAAACAUCUCAUUGUACACCUAAAUAUAUACAAUUUGAUUUGUCAAUUGUACAUCAAUAAAGCUGGAAAAAUGUAUUCAAUCCUAUAUAAUAGAUUGGGAAAUUACAUAGCCAUAUCUGAUUAUGAAUUCAGCAAAGCUUUUAAAUAUGUUUUUAUUUUACUAUUCACAAGAGCACCUUGGUGCAUUUGAAAUUAAAUCCUUCAAUGUGGAGAAAACAAAACACUGUCUCACUGAGCACAAAGCUUGUUCAAUAUUUUUGUCAGCGCGAUGUAUUUUUGUUAGCAAUGUUGACCACUGAAAUGAUUUCCUUAGCAGAUAAUUUUCCAGUAAACCUCCCACAUCAUUGCAAACUUCCUGUUCCCAGCUGCUCUUCCUCUUCUUAAGCCCCUCAUUAUAGGCAGUAGGAGAGCUGAUAAUCAGCAGAAAAUUAAGCUGGCAGGGUGUGUGCUUAAAGGCGUCAAUUUCCAAGGGAAGGAAGUGUUCAUUUUGUUUUGUUUUAUUUUGUUUUUAUGAAGCAUUGCUUUUUACUUGUGUUGUGCCUUUUGAACUUAAGCAUUAUUUUUUGACAAUGGAGACUUUUGGUUUAGUGCAGUUCUCUGUAACUGGACAGUACUCAAUAGAAAUUGUUGAAUUGAAUGUUUAACAUAUGCUUCUCUUUGACCAAAUAAGGAAUAUUUUAUGGGCCAUUUUUCAUUUUAGAUGAGCUUAUAGGAAUAGGCACUCUUUGGAAAUUGGAGAAAUUAAUUCUUAGGGAGUGUAGUCCAAGUUUAAUUCUGGGUCUUUGAGUGAUACUUUUAAAACAAGUGCCUUUGACCCUUGAUUAAGUACAAAAUAAGCACAUAGCUAAUGUAAACCUCUUAAAUCAGUGGUUAUCAGGCUUGGCUGCACAGUGGAAUAACCUCAAGUGGGAUGUGUGGGAGAAUUAAAAAAAAAUACUGCUGCCCGGGUCUCAGACUCAGAAAUCCUUAUGUAAUUGGUCUAAUCUACAGCCUGUCUUCAGGGUUUUUAAAAGCUUCCCAGGAGAUGCUAAUGGAUAGCCAAAGCUGACAACCAUUGUCUUUAAUGAAUGAACACAUUUAAUCAGCCUGUACUAAGUACUAGGCACUGACGCUAGGCACCUGUUUCUGUUAUCUUUUAUUAAUGUGGAAAUUGGCACUCAUAGAAGUUGAUUUGUUUACCAUCACAGAGCAGAAAACUGUUGAAGAUGGAAAGCAAACAACAACAACAAAACCUAACAGUCCUAUGGCCUCCCCACAUUCUUUGCCAUUUACAUCAUAGUAGUUAAAAAAUAUGCUGGUGACUGCAAAAGCCAAUGUAUCAACCUUUAAAAUGAAGAAAUAAUGAAAUGAAAACUAACUUUGUUGAAGAUUAGGACAGUCCUUGGGAUGGUAUGUGAUAUAAGUUUUAAACUCUGUGUAA
rnacentral:lncRNA from 1 species